AACGCGAAGAACCUUACCGGGACUUGACAUUAUCUUGCCCCUCUAAGAAAUUAGAUCUUCUUCCUUUCGGGGAAGACAGGAUAACAGGUGGUGCAUGGUUGUCGUCAGCUCGUGUCGUGAGAUGUUGGGUUAAGUCCCACAACGAGCGCAACCCUUGUGCCUAGUUGCUAACUUGUUUUACAAGUGCACUCUAGGCAGACUGCCGCAGAUAAUGCGGAGGAAGGUGGGGAUGACGUCAAAUCAUCAUGCCCCUUACGUCCCGGGCUACACACGUGCUACAAUGGUCUGUACAGAGGGUAGCGAAAGAGCGAUCUUAAGCCAAUCCCAAAAAGCAGGCCCCAGUUCGGAUUGGAGGCUGCAACUCGCCUCCAUGAAGUAGGAAUCGCUAGUAAUCGCGGAUCAGCAUGCCGCGGUGAAUACGUUCCCGGGCCUUGUACACACCGCCCGUCACACCACGAAAGUUGGCGAUACCUGAAGUUACUAGGCUAACCCAGCACUAGAACUUGUUUUAGUGCCGGGAGGCAGGUACCGAAGGUAUGGCUGGCGAUUGGGGUGAAGUCGUAACAAGGUAACCUUAAUUAAAAA
rnacentral:rRNA from 1 species